GGAGAAGAGAUAAAAAAAAUUCAGACACUUCUGUUGGUAUAUCAAACUUGAUUAGUAAUAAGCUCAGCAGAUUACUAAUAGAUAGGUUAAAGGAGAACUAAAGGUAUAAUCACUGGGGGAUGCCCCCUGUAAAUUAAAAUGUUUAGCUGAAACCCCAGAGUGGUGCUCCUGUUAUAAAACUGCACCGGCCCAGGGUAUUUCUGCAGAAAAUCAUUUGCUGCAAUCUUCUUCUUUCUCUGGGCCCUGGCAUGUAGAGUAAAAAAGACAGCUUUUGGUGUCAGUUCAGCUUUCAGUCUGCUGCACAUGCGUCUGCCCAGACUGGAAUGAAGAGAAGACUAAAGAGGCUGAGGAAGAUGGCGAAAUACCCUGGGCACCAGCCCACGGUCUCAGCUUUUCCAUCCAGCUUCUCACUACAAGGAAAAAGAAACACAAUUGUUCAUGACAGACUGGAAUCUAUACAAUAGCAAGAAUAAAUGGGUUCGUUUCAGAGGACAGAAUUCUCCUUAAACAGUAAGUCAUUUCUCA